GUACCGUCAGGCUACUGAGCUGUUUACCCAGUAACGUUUCUUCCCCCAUGACAGGGUUUUACGACUCAAAGAGCCUUCAUCACCCACGCGGCGUCGCUCGGUCAGGGUUUCCCCCAUUGCCGAAGCUUCUCGA
rnacentral:rRNA from 1 species